rnacentral:rRNA from 1 species
GCCGCGUGUGUGAAGAAGGCCUUAGGGUUGUAAAGCACUUUCAGACGUGAGGAAAAGUUAAGUCUUAAUACGGCUUAACCCUGACGUUAACGUCAGAAGAAGCACCGGCUAACUCCGUGCCAGCAGCCGCGGUAAUACGGAGGGUGCAAGCGUUAAUCGGAAUUACUGGGCGUAAAGCGCGCGUAGGCGGUUAAAUAAGUCAGAUGUGAAAGCCCCGGGCUCAACCUGGGAACCGCAUUUGAAACUGUUUAGCUAGAGUGUGGUAGAGGAGAGUGGAAUUUCAGGUGUAGCGGUGAAAUGCGUAGAUAUCUGAAGGAACAUCAGUGGCGAAGGCGGCUCUCUGGACCAACACUGACGCUGAGGUGCGAAAGCGUGGGUAGCAAACGGGAUUAGAUACCCCGGUAGUCCACGCCGUAAACGAUGUCAACUAACCGUUGGGCGGGUUUCCGCUUAGUGGUGCAGCUAACGCAAUAAGUUGACCGCCUGGGGAGUACGGCCGCAAGGCUAAAACUCAAAUGAAUUGACGGGGGCCCGCACAAGCGGUGGAGCAUGUGGUUUAAUUCGAUGCAACGCGAAGAACCUUACCUACCCUUGACAUACAGAGAACUUUCUAGAGAUAGAUUGGUGCCUUCGGGAACU